GAUGAACGCUGACAGAAUGCUUAACACAUGCAAGUCAACUUGAACUUCGGUUUGGGUGGCGGACGGGUGAGUAACGCGUAAAGAACUUGCCUCACAGCUAGGGACAACAUUUGGAAACGAAUGCUAAUACCUGAUAUUAUGAUUAUAUGGCAUCGUAUAAUUAUGAAAGCUAUAUGCGCUGUGAGAGAGCUUUGCGUCCCAUUAGCUAGUUGGAGAGGUAACAGCUCACCAAGGCGAUGAUGGGUAGCCGGCCUGAGAGGGUGAUCGGCAACAAGGGGACUGAGACACGGCCCUUACUCCUACGGGAGGAAGAAGUGGGGAAUAUUGGACAAUGGACCGAGAGUCUGAUCCAGCAAUUCUGUGUGCACGAUGAAGUUUUUCGGAAUGUAAAGUGCUUUCAGUUGGGAAGAAAAAAAUGACGGUACCAACAGAAGAAGUGACGGCUAAAUACGUG
rnacentral:rRNA from 1 species